rnacentral:lncRNA from 1 species
CUUAGGGCUGCCUUUGCUUUAGGGAAUCUUCUGGGUCUGUUCUCCCUCUCUCCAAAUUCCUUAAUCCCUGUCUUUGUUGUUUGAUAGGUACCCUUGGGUGAGCAAAAGCAAUGACUCAAAUCAGCAAGAAAACUAAAGCUACCAAGAAGCAUUUUCCACCAGAAAUCUUCUUUGAAAUUGUUUCAAGGCUGCCCCUAAAAUCCGUGGGGCGUUUUACCACUGUCAGCAAAUCAUGGUAUUCUUUUAUUAAAUCAUCUGCCUUUAUUGCCGCCCAUCUCAACAAAUCUAUUGCUAGCAAAAUUGAUAAUGAUAGCUUGCAUUAUCUUCUCUAUGUACCACCCUUGGUUGAAGAUUAUAAAUUAUGCACGGUAGUUUCUGACAACCUGAUGAACUUUGAUGUGGUUUAUAAUGUGGAGUUGCCUGUGGAUUUUGAAUCGAAGAGAUGUAGACCGAUUGGUUCGUGCAACGGUCUAGUUUGCUUAGCUGAUGAUGAUGAAGAAGAUUUUCAUGGUCGUGUCAUUUGAUGGUGGGCUGCCUCUUUAUUCUUGGCUGGCCCAAACUUAGUAAUAUUGGGCCUUGCCGGGUUGGUUGAUCCAACGGUUUGAAAUUGGUUGGAAAUGAAAAGCGUUUUUCUGGAAAUGCGUUUUUUUUAAUAAUGGGCAAUUGUUGUGGACAUUACACUUGGCACCUUUGUAAUCGUUGGAUCUUUAAUAUUUUGCUAGACUAUUAAAAGUCUCGUGACUCUUCACUUUUGCCCUAAUUUGAGUGAACGGUUCUAGGGUUUUCUUCGUCUUCUCUCUGAGGGUUUUUUGGACUCUUCUGUUCUUGCAUCUUUCUGAAAGCAAUCUCUAAUCUGAGUGAUGUUAGGGUUGUAUUUGGUAUAUGAUCUGUGAGAUUGUAGAAAACUGAGUGUUGUAUUAUAGAGAGGCGAAAGAAAACUGAAAUUGAAGGAACUGCGGUUUCUUCAUAUAUUCUUGUAUCGAUUCUUUGUGAUUCUUAGUGGAUUCGAGCCUAAUCUAUUUUUGUAGAUGCUCAACGGAUGAGUAAGCCUUUUGGCUGAACUUCCGGGCCCUUAGGG